UACGUAGGUGGCAAGCGUUGUCCGGAAUUAUUGGGCGUAAAGCGCGCGCAGGUGGUCCUUUAAGUCUGAUGUGAAAGCCCACGGCUCAACCGUGGAGGGUCAUUGGAAACUGGGGGACUUGAGUGCAGGAGAGAAGAGUGGAAUUCCACGUGUAGCGGUGAAAUGCGUAGAGAUGUGGAGGAACACCAGUGGCGAAGGCGACUCUUUGGCCUGUAACUGACACUGAGGCGCGAA
rnacentral:rRNA from 1 species